GAUGAACGCUGGCGGCGUGCUUAACACAUGCAAGUUGAACGAAGUGGCGGAUGGGCGAGUAACACGUGAGGAACCUGCCUUUCACAGGGGAAUAACACUGGGAAACCAGUGCUAAUCCCGCAUACUAUCGGAUGAACCCAUAUGGGAUUAGCUAGUUGGUGAGGUAAUGGCUCACCAAGGCGACGAUCCUUAGCUGGUCUGAAGGAUGAUCAGCCACACUGGGACUGAGACACGGCCCAGACUCCUACGGGAGGCAGCAGUGGGGAAUAUUGCACAAUGGCGCAAGCCUGAUGCAGCCAUGCCGCGUGUAUGAAGAAGGCCCUAGGGUUGUAAACCUCUUUCCAUCGAACAGGGUAGGUGGAGAAGAAGCGCCGGCUAACUACGUGCCAGCAGCCGCGGUAAUUC
rnacentral:rRNA from 1 species